GAUGAAGAACGCAGCGAAAUGCGAUAAGUAAUGUGAAUUGCAGAAUUCAGUGAAUCAUCGAAUCUUUGAACGCACCUUGCGCUCCUUGGUAUUCCGAGGAGCAUGCCUGUUUGAGUGUCAUUAAAUUCUCAACCAUUAUCAACUUUUGCUGAUAAUGGCUUGGAUGUGGGGGUCUAUUUUGCUGGCUUCUCAGAUAGUCAGCUCCCCUUAAAUGCAUUAGCCGGUGCCCCGCGUGGACUGUCUAUUGGUGUGAUAAUUAUCUACGCUAUAGACAUCUGCAAUCAUAUGGGUUUGCGCUGCUUCUAACAGUCUGUUGAUUCAGACAAUACAUGACAAUUUGACCUCAAAUCAGGUAGGACUACCCGCUGAACUUAAGCAUAUCAAUAAGCGGAGGA
rnacentral:misc_RNA from 1 species